rnacentral:rRNA from 1 species
UACGAAGGGUGCAAACGUUGCUCGGAAUUAUUGGGCGUAAAGCGCACGUAGGCGGCUCAAAAAGUCCCAUGUGAAAGCCCACGGCUUAACCGUGGAAGUGCAUGGGAUACUGUUGAGCUUGAGUACUUAAGAGGAUCGCGGAAUUCCCGGUGUAGAGGUGAAAUGCGCAGAUAUCGGGAGGAACACCGGUGGCGAAGGCGGUUCUCUGGGCCUUACCUGACGCUGAGGAGCGAAAGCGUGGGGAGCGAACAGG